GAUGAACGCUGGCGGCGUGCCUAAUACAUGCAAGUCGAGCGAACGGACGAGAAGCUUGCUUCUCUGAUGUUAGCGGCGGACGGGUGAGUAACACGUGGAUAACCUACCUAUAAGACUGGGAUAACUUCGGGAAACCGGAGCUAAUACCGGAUGAUAUUUUGAACCGCAUGGUUCAAAAGUGAAAGACGGUCUUGCUGUCACUUAUAGAUGGAUCCGCGCUGCAUUAGCUAGUUGGUAAGGUAACGGCUUACCAAGGCAACGAUGCAUAGCCGACCUGAAAGGGGGAUCGGCCAACCGGGAAGUGGGAAGCGGCCCAAAAUCCUAGGGGAGGCAGGGGUAGGGAAUCUGCCGGAAUGGGCGAAAGCCUGACGGAGCAACGGCGGGUGGGUGAUGAAGGUCUUCGAGUCGUAAAACUCUUUUAUUGGGGAAGAACAAAUGGGUAAGUAACUGGGCGCAUCUUGGCGGUACCUAAUCAAAGAGCCGCGGCAAACUACUG
rnacentral:rRNA from 1 species